UACGGGGGGAGCAAGCGUUGUUCGGAUUUACUGGGCGUAAAGGGCGCGUAGGCGGCGCAACAAGUCACUUGUGAAAUCUCCGGGCUUAACCCGGAGCGGUCAAGUGAUACUGUCGUGCUAGAGUGCGGAAGGGGCCACUGGAAUUCUCGGUGUAGCGGUGAAAUGCGUAGAUAUCGAGAGGAACACCUGCGGCGAAGGCGGGUAGCUGGGCCGACACUGACGCUGAUGCGCGAAAGCCAGGGAGCGAACGGG
rnacentral:rRNA from 1 species